AAACAAUUGACUUCUUUCCCUAUCCUGUUUGCAGGUAAUGCUGUUAUCCAACAAAAGGCUGAAUCCUACAAGGGCUUGAGAGUGGUGUUACCAUUAAUGGUCGGUGUUCUUCCUGCAGGCACAGGAGCACAUUCCCACCUCAGCCACACUUCUUCUCCAGUAGUUCAAGAGCAGAAGAGACUGAUCCAAACCCAGCGCUGCCUGCAGCUCUGCAUCAGCCGGUUUCCUCACACACGAUUAUUUGUGAUGGAAACAUCUUCCUGCUGGUUCUCCCCCUGGCUUGGUUAAAUGGGUGUCAGGCUGCACAACUG
rnacentral:lncRNA from 1 species